AAGCUGCCAUGCUUCCUGCACAGCCCACAGAACUGUUGAAUUAUUAGCCACAAUUCUCCCCCCUCUGAGGUAGGAGGAUGCAUCCACAACCUUGCCUUGGCGUCAUGGAAGCAGAGUACACUUCCCCAAUUCAAUAAACUUGUCUUAUCCAGUGGAAUAAGACUGGAGAUAUCUAAGUUUUCAUAAGAGAUCAUCAGAAGAAAAUGAAGAUCCAGGCUCUCUUUCAGCUGAGAAAACGCAUCCACAAAAUUCCAAAGAAUAC
rnacentral:lncRNA from 1 species